UGAGGAAUAUUGGUCAAUGGGCGGGAGCCUGAACCAGCCAAGCCGCGUGAGGGAAGACGGUCCUAUGGAUUGUAAACCUCUUUUGUCGGGGAGCAAAGAGGCCACGUGUGGUCAAAGCGAGAGUACCCGAAGAAAAAGCAUCGGCUAACUCCGUGCCAGCAGCCGCGGUAAUACGGAGGAUGCGAGCGUUAUCCGGAUUUAUUGGGUUUAAAGGGUGCGUAGGCGGGACGGUAAGUCAGCGGUAAAAAUGCGGAGCUCAACUCCGUCGAGCCGUUGAAACUGCCGUUCUUGAGUGAGCGAGAAGUAUGCGGAAUGCGUGGUGUAGCGGUGAAAUGCAUAGAUAUCACGCAGAACUCCGAUUGCGAAGGCAGCAUACCGGCGCUCAACUGACGCUGAAGCACGAAGGCGUGGGUAUCGAACAGGAUUAGAUACC
rnacentral:rRNA from 1 species